rnacentral:rRNA from 1 species
UGGGGAAUCUUGCACAAUGGGGGCAACCCUGAUGCAGCGACGCCGCGUGAGCGAUGAAGCCCUUCGGGGCGUAAAGCUCUUUCGACCGGAACGAUAAUGACGGUACCGGGAGAAGAAGCUGCGGCUAACUACGUGCCAGCAGCCGCGGUAAUACGUAGGCAGCAAGCGUUGUUCGGAGUUACUGGGCGUAAAGAGUGCGUAGGCGGUUUUCUAAGUUCGGUGUGAAAUCUCCCGGCUUAACUGGGAGGGUGCGCCGAAGACUGGGAAGCUGGAGUGUCGGAAAGGCAGGCGGAAUUCCUGGUGUAGCGGUGAAAUGCGUAGAUAUCAGGAGGAACACCGGCGGUGUAGACGGCUUGCUAGACCAUAACUGACGCUGAGGCACGAAAGCGUGGGUAGCAAACA